rnacentral:rRNA from 1 species
CAUGCAAGUCGUACGAGAGUUUUUAACUCAAGUGGCGGACGGGUGAGUAACACGUAAGAAUUUGCCUUUAGGAGGGGGACAACAACUGGAAACGGUUGCUAAUACCCCAUAUGCUUUCGAGUGAAAUGGAUUUUUCCGCCUAGAGAGAAGCUUGCGGCUGAUUAGCUUGUUGGUGGGGUAAUGGCCUACCAAGGCGACGAUCAGUAUCUGGUUUGAGAGGACGAUCAGACACACUGGAACUGAGACACGGUCCAGACUCCUACGGGAGGCAGCAGUGGGGAAUUUUCCGCAAUGGGCGAAAGCCUGACGGAGCAAUACCGCGUGAGGGAUGACGGCCUAUGGGUUGUAAACCUCUUUUUUCAGGGAGGAAUCAAAUGACGUGUACCUGAAGAAUAAGCAUCGGCUAACUCCGUGCCAGCAGCCGCGGUAAGACGGAGGAUGCAAGUGUUAUCCGGAAUCACUGGGCGUAAAGCGUCUGUAGGUGGUCAAAUAAGUCAACUGUUAAAUCUUGAGGCCCAACCUCAAAAUCGCAGUCGAAACUAUUAGACUAGAGUAUAGUAGGGGUAAAGGGAAUUUCCAGUGGAGCGGUGAAAUGCGUAG